UUUUCAGACAUCAAACCGCACUCCGAUGAUUUUUUCAUACCUAAGGACCUUUUUACACCCAUUACAUGUUUCUUAACAUUUAAUUUAUUUGCUAUGUUAGGAAGUUUAACAACAUCUUGGAUUCAAUGGCCUAAACCAAAUUUACUAUGUAUACCUGUUCUUCUUCGUGCUAUGUUUAUACCGCUAUUUAUGUUUUGCAAUUAUUUACCAAAAAGUACAAUGAGAUCGCUUCCGGUAUUAAUUACUAACGAAUGGGUUUACUGGCUCAUAGCAAUCGUCAUGUCUUUCACUUCAGGUUAUUUAAGUUCUUUGGGUAUGAUGUAUGCUCCUCAGACAGUGUUACCGAAAUAUCAAAUUACAACAGGAAUGUUUGCUGCCGCAAUGUUGAUAACAGGCAUUUUUUCAGGAAUUCUAUUCUCCUUCAUUUUACCUUCAUUUGUUUAAUUUAUUAAAAAAUGUUGUGUGUAUAAACACUUCAAUUAAAUAAUAAGCAAUAAAGAAAUAAAAGAUGUUAAUUAUAUAGUCGUCGGUGAGCGAAA